rnacentral:tRNA from 1 species
UGUGUUGUGGCUCAGUGGUAGAGUGCUUACCUUGCAUGCAUGGACCACUGGGUUUGAUCCUCAGCACCACAU